AGACAUCUCGAACUCUGUCUGAAGAUUGUAGUCUGAGUAUAAAUAUAAAUUAUUUAANACUUUCAACAACGGAUCUCUUGGUUCCGGCAUCGAUGAAGAAUCGCAGCGAAAUGCGAUACGUAAUGUGAAUUGCAGAAUUCAGUGAAUCAUCGAGUCUUUGAACGCACAUUGCGCCCUCUGGUAUUCCGGAGGGCAUGCCUGUCCGAGCGUCAUUGCUGCCCUCAAGCACGGCUUGUGUGUUGGGCCCCGUCCUCCGAUCCCGGGGGACGGGCCCGAAAGGCAGCGGCGGCACCGCGUCCGGUCCUCGAGCGUAUGGGGCUUUGUCACCCGCUCUGUAGGCCCGGCCGGCGUCUUGCCGAUCAACC
rnacentral:rRNA from 1 species